rnacentral:rRNA from 1 species
AGCGAACGCUGGCGGCGUGCUUAACACAUGCAAGUCGAACGUGAAAUGUAGCAAUACAGAGUAAAGUGGCGUACGGUGAGUAACACGUGGGUAAUCUACCAAAGUGUCUGGAAUAACCGAUCGAAAGGUUGGCUAAUACUGGAUAGUUCAAGCUUGUUAUAAUGGCAAGAUUGGGAAAGGGAGCUGGCAACAGCCUUCGCAUUUUGAUGAGCUCGCGUCUGAUUAGUUAGUUGGUAAGGUAAUGGCUUACCAAGACGAAGAUCAGUAGCUGGUCUGAGAGGAUGAUCAGCCACACUGGAACUGAAACACGGUCCAGACUCCUACGGGAGGCAGCAGUGGGGAAUCUUGCGCAAUGGACGAAAGUCUGACGCAGCCACGCCGCGUGAGUGAAGAAGGCC